AGUAACGCGUGAGGAACCUGCCUUCCAGAGGGGGACAACAGUUGGAAACGACUGCUAAUACCGCAUGAUGCAUUUGAAUCGCAUGGUUUGAAUGUCAAAGAUUUAUCGCUGGAAGAUGGCCUCGCGUCUGAUUAGCUAGUUGGUGAGGUAACGGCCCCCCAAGUCGACGAUCAGUAGCCGGACUGAGAGGUUGAACGGCCACAUUGGGACUGAGACACGGCCCAGACUCCUACGGAAGGCAGCAG
rnacentral:rRNA from 1 species